rnacentral:rRNA from 1 species
UACAGAGGGUGCAAGCGUUAAUCGGAAUUACUGGGCGUAAAGCGUGCGUAGACGGUUAUUUAAGUCAGGUGUGAAAGCCCCGGGCUCAACCUGGGAAUUGCAUUUGAGACUGAAUAGCUAGGGUGCGGAAGAGGGAAGCGGAAUUUCCGGUGUAGCGGUGAAAUGCGUAGAUAUCGGAAGGAACACCAGUGGCGAAGGCAAUCCCCUGGGCCUGCACUGACGCUCAUGCACGAAAGCGUGGGGAGCAAACAGG